rnacentral:rRNA from 1 species
GUCGUANCACGCUUUCAGUAGGUGAACCCUGCGCAGGGAUCAUUA